rnacentral:rRNA from 1 species
AUUGAACGCUGGCGGCAGGCCUAACACAUGCAAGUCGAACGGUAACAGGAAGAAGCUUGCUUCUUUGCUGACGAGUGGCGGACGGGUGAGUAAUGUCUGGGAAACUGCCUGAUGGAGGGGGAUAACUACUGGAAACGGUAGCUAAUACCGCAUAACGUCGCAAGACCAAAGAGGGGGACCUUCGGGCCUCUUGCCAUCGGAUGUGCCCAGAUGGGAUUAGCUAGUAGGUGGGGUAACGGCUCACCUAGGCGACGAUCCCUAGCUGGUCUGAGAGGAUGACCAGCCACACUGGAACUGAGACACGGUCCAGACUCCUACGGGAGGCAGCAGUGGGGAAUAUUGCACAAUGGGCGCAAGCCUGAUGCAGCCAUGCCGCGUGUAUGAUGAAGGCCUUCGGGUUGUAAAGUACUUUCAGCGGGGAGGAAGGGAGUAAAGUUAAUACCUUUACUCAUUGACGUUACCCGCAGAAGAAGCACCGGCUAACUCCGUG